rnacentral:misc_RNA from 1 species
AAGUCGUAACAAGGUUUCCGUAGGUGAACCUGCGGAAGGAUCAUUAACACGUAUCCACGUAUCUACCUCUUGCGAACUUGUUUUGUUUUGUAGUCGUGCUCAGGUAUUUUAUCAAGGAAGUAGAUGGCCAUGUCAGGAGAAAAAAUUCAUUUUUUUUUUCUUGUUCUACUUGCCUUCCACCCAAUGUUUUGAGUGCUGGUGUAUUGAGAUCCUGUGAUGCCUUUUGUGGGCGUCCACAGUUUCCUACUAGCAGAACGCUCCUUGGGAUGGGUAUCUGGCGUGACUCGAAUCAUGGUGGUUAUUCACUAUUAACCCCUUUUUUUUUAAAAUUUUUGUCUCAGUGUGAGUGGGUGGUGCCGCUUUGCGGUGCGCCCUCCUCAUCAAAAAAAAAUAACAAAGAUACAACUCUUAGCAACGGAUAUCUAGGUUCU